rnacentral:pre_miRNA from 1 species
AUAACAUUCGGAGCGUCGCCCCAAUGAGCAAUUUCACUCGCUCGGUGGAAGAUCAUCAAUUUGUCGA